GACGAACCGUACGAACGUUAUUCGGAAUUACUGGGCUUAAAGGGUGCGCAGGCGGCUUGGCAAGUUGGGUGUGAAAUACCUCGGCUCAACCGGGGAAGGGCGCUCAAAACUGCCGAGCUAGAGGGAGAUAGAGGUGAGCGGAACUUAAGGUGGAGCGGUGAAAUGCGUUGAUAUCUUAAGGAACACCCGUGGCGAAAGCGGCUCACUGGAUCUCUUCUGACGCUCAGGCACGAAAGCCAGGGGAGCGAACGGG
rnacentral:rRNA from 1 species